UCAGAAAGUCUAUAAAAGCCAGCCUGCUGUUUGAGAGGAGUCAUGAACCUGUCAUUCGUUGACUAAAGUUAGCAGUCAGACUCGUCGAUAUUCCUGCAGCAUGAGAAAUCCAGCAAGGUUGCAGAAUGCUAACCAGGAAUUCCAAACACAAAGACCCCUUCCUAAUCCCUCGACACAUAAGGCUGCCAAUUUAGUAUCAAGAGAAGACAGGAAGAACUUUUAAGGAAGAAGUAACACUGGAGUCAACAACAACAACAACAGCAAAACAACCUCUGGCAAUUUCUUAUCCUGUGUCUGACUGACCUCUUUUAUAUCCAAGGAAAGUAUUGUCAAACCACCAAUCCCCCAGAACUACACUGUCUUGGAGAUGCUAAAUUGCAAAGAGAAAACAUCUCAGCAUUAAGGAGGAAGAGAGCUCUGGCUGUGGAAUGAUUAGAGGGUGCAGCAUCCUUUGGCAAAAUGCUGCAAUAUCUCCUUAGGCUUAUAUGCUAUCGUCCUGAUUCUAAGAUUUUCCAUCUCAGGUAUUCAGACCUCUAAACUCUGUCUCCUUCUCCCCAACCCUAUUUACAAGUUGACAUGUACCAAAAAGAGUAAAUGAAUGACAACAGUUUACAUUGCUA